rnacentral:rRNA from 1 species
UACGUAGGGUGCGAGCGUUAAUCGGAAUUACUGGGCGUAAAGCGUGCGCAGGCGGUGAUGUAAGACAGGUGUGAAAUCCCCGGGCUUAACCUGGGAACUGCAUUUGUGACUGCAUCGCUGAAGUGCGGCAGAGGGGGAUGGAAUUCCGCGUGUAGCAGUGAAAUGCGUAGAUAUGCGGAGGAACACCGAUGGCGAAGGCAAUCCCCUGGGCCUGCACUGACGCUCAUGCACGAAAGCGUGGGGAGCAAACAGG